rnacentral:misc_RNA from 1 species
UCCGAGUUGACCCCGGCAGUCUCCUAUGAGUCCCCGCCAUAACGCGCUGGCAACAUCGAACGAGGGUUGCGCUCGUUGCGGGACUUAACCCAACAUCUCACGACACGAGCUGACGACAGCCAUGCACCACCUGUCACCGACCCCGAAGGACCCCACAUCUCUGCGAGAUUUCCGGCGAUGUCAAACCCAGGUAAGGUUCUUCGCGUUGCAUCGAAUUAAUCCGCAUGCUCCGCCGCUUGUGCGGGCCCCCGUCAAUUCCUUUGAGUUUCACCCUUGCGAGCGUACUCCCCAGGUGGAAUACUUAUCAGGUUUCCUACGGCACUGACCCUUGCGGGCCAACACCAAGUAUUCAUCGUUUAGGGCGUGGACUAC